rnacentral:rRNA from 1 species
CCUACGGGUGGCAGCAGUGAGGAAUAUUGGUCAAUGGACGCGAGUCUGAACCAGCCAAGUAGCGUGAAGGAUGACUGCCCUAUGGGUUGUAAACUUCUUUUAUAUGGGAAUAAAGUGUUCCACGUGUGGGAUUUUGUAUGUACCAUAUGAAUAAGGAUCGGCUAACUCCGUGCCAGCAGCCGCGGUAAUACGGAGGAUCCGAGCGUUAUCCGGAUUUAUUGGGUUUAAAGGGAGCGUAGGUGGAUUGUUAAGUCAGUUGUGAAAGUUUGCGGCUCAACCGUAAAAUUGCAGUUGAAACUGGCAGUCUUGAGUACAGUAGAGGUGGGCGGAAUUCGUGGUGUAGCGGUGAAAUGCUUAGAUAUCACGAAGAACUCCGAUUGCGAAGGCAGUUCACUGGACUGCAACUGACACUGAGGCUCGAAAGUGUGGGUAUCAAACAGGAUUAGAUACCCGAGUAGUC